rnacentral:rRNA from 1 species
UCUCAGUUCAGAUUGCAGGCUGCAACUCGCCUGCAUGAAGUCGGAAUUGCUAGUAAUCGUAGGUCAGCAUACUACGGUGAAUACGUUCCCGGGCCUUGUACACACCGCCCGUCAAACCAUGAGAGUUGGCAACACCCGAAGUCGGUAGUCUAACCGCAAGGAGGACGCCGCCGAAGGUGGGGUUGAUGACUGGGGUGAAGUCGUAACAAGGUAUC